GCGGAUUAUUCCCAGUUCCCCAUACACUUACGCAGUUGAAAGCUGGUGAGCAAAGUAAAGAGGGAACAUGCGUACGACAUGCUUAAGCGGGUCUUUUACUAUGAGGAUGAUGCCGGAGGAAAAAUAAAGUACGAUAUUUUGAAGAGAAUAGGAAAGAACUGGAAGGAUACAAGACACCACUUGUUUCAUAGGUAUUACAAACAAAUAAGAACUUAUGAGAAAAAUUUUCAGCAUCACCCGAAAGGAAUAGACAAAAAUGAUUGGAAAAAGUUCAUUGACUAUCGCCUGAAUGAAGAAACACAGGUAAGCCUUGGUAUAUUUUAUUAUUUCCAC